ACGGAGGGUGCGAGCGUUGUUCGGAAUUAUUGGGCGUAAAGCGCGUGUAGGCGGUCUUUUAAGUCUGAUGUGAAAGCCCCGGGCUCAACCUGGGAAGUGCGUUGGAAACUGGGAGACUAGAGUGAUGGAGAGGGUAGUGGAAUUCCUAGUGUAGGGGUGAAAUCCGUAGAUAUUAGGAGGAACACCGAUGGCGAAGGCAGGUCCCUGGGCAGUAAUUGACGCUGAGAAGCGAAAGCGUGGGGAGCAAACAG
rnacentral:rRNA from 1 species